rnacentral:rRNA from 1 species
GAUGAACGCUGGCGGCGUGCCUAAUACAUGCAAGUCGAGCGAACAGAUGAUGAGCUUGCUCCUCUGACGUUAGCGGCGGACGGGUGAGUAACACGUGGAUAACCUACUUAUAUGUCUGGGAUAACUUCGGGAAACCGGAGAUAAUACCGGAUAAUAUAUUGAACCGCAGGGUUCAAUAGUGAAAGACGGCUUUGCUGUCACUUAUAGAUGGUUCCGCGCUGCAUUAGCUAGUUGGUAAGGUAACGGCUUACCAAGGCAACGAUGCGUAGCCGACCUGAGAGGGUGAUCGGCCACACUGGAACUGAGACACGGUCCAGACUCCUACGGGAGGCAGCAGUAGGGAAUCUUCCGCAAUGGGCGAAAGCCUGACGGAGCAACGCCGCGUGAGUGAAGAAGGUCUUCGGAUCGUAAAACUCUUUUAUUGGGGAAGAACAACUGUAUAAGUAACUAUGGACGUCGUGACGGUACCUAAUCAGAAAGCCACGGCUAACUACGUG